rnacentral:rRNA from 1 species
UACAUGGGGUGCAAACGUUGCUCGGAAUUAUUGGGCGUAAAGCGCACGUAGGCGGUUUGUUAAGUCGGAUGUGAAAUCCCUCGGCUCAACUGAGGAAGUGCAUCCGAAACUGGCAGGCUUGAGUACUAAAGAGGGUCGGCGGAAUUCCCGGUGUAGAGGUGAAAUUCGUAGAUAUUGGGAGGAACACCGGUGGCGAAGGCGGCGACCUGGGUAGAUACUGACGCUGAGGUGCGAAAGCGUGGGGAGCGAACGAGG